AGUGAACGCUGGCGGCAGGCCUAACACAUGCAAGUCGAGCGGCAGCGCGGGGGCAACCCUGGCGGCGAGCGGCGGACGGGUGAGGAAUACAUCGGAAUCUACCCAGUCGUGGGGGAUAACGUAGGGAAACUUACGCUAAUACCGCAUACGACCUGAGGGUGAAAGCAGGGGACCGCAAGGCCUUGCGCGAUUGGAUGAGCCGAUGUCCGAUUAGCUAGUUGGUGAGGUAAAGGCUCACCAAGGCGACGAUCGGUAGCUGGUCUGAGAGGAUGAUCAGCCACACUGGAACUGAGACACGGUCCAGACUCCUACGGGAGGCAGCAGUGGGGAAUAUUGGACAAUGGGCGCAAGCCUGAUCCAGCCAUGCCGCGUGUGUGAAGAAGGCCUCCGGGUUGUAAAGCACUUUUGUCCGGAAAGAAAUCCUGUCGGUUAAUACCUGGCGGGGAUGACGGUACCGGAAGAAUAAGCACCGGCUAACUUCGUGCCAGCCGCCGCGGUAAUAC
rnacentral:rRNA from 1 species